UCUCUGGGGUCCGCGCUGAUAGCUGUGGCUCGUGCCCGUCUCUGGAACUCCUUUAAGCGACACUCUUAAUCCCCUGUCCUCGCGCACCACGAAACAACGGGGCAAGAAAAAUCUCUUGCCUCUUAGGCAGUUCCAGACUUUUUCCCGGACUCCCUCCUGGCUAGCUGUGGUGCACUAGCCCCCUCAGGCUGUGUUCACGCAGCCAACCUGAGUCCUCGCCUUGGGAUCCGACCGAAGCCCGAACCUCAGCUCCCAGCCCCUGCCCGCCCCGGAGGGUGAGCAGACGAGCCUCUCGGGCUGUUCCAAGUGAUAUAUGGUUGGGUUCCGUGACCUCUGAAGCUCCUUGCCAUCCCAUGAUGCUGGGACUGAAAAUCAGGCGGAGUUCAGCAGCUGCUUCCUGAGCCAUUUUGGACACUUGCCAUCGCAGAAGUUAAUCUCAUCCAUCUCAGAGUCUGCCACUUAUCAGCUGUGUGGAGAUACUGCCAGCCUCUGAAAACACUAAAACGCCACCUGCUAUGUAAAGAAGUCCAGUGUAUUCUGGUGGAGAGAGGCCCUGGUGGACAAGAGGCCAUGUGACAAAGAACUGAGGUGUCCCA